rnacentral:rRNA from 1 species
AUUCCAGCUCCAAUAGCGUAUAUUAAAGUUGUUGCAGUUAAAAAGCUCGUAGUUGGAUUUGUGGUGGUUCCUAUGGUCCAAAAUGUUUUGGUACUAUCAGGCUCUGCCAUCCUUGGGUGGAACCUGUGGGGCAUUAGGUUGUUUUGCGGGGGAUGCCCAUCGUUUACUGUGAAAAAAUUAGAGUGUUCAAAGCAGGCUUAUGCCGUUGAAUAGAUUAGCAUGGAAUAAUAAAAUAGGACUUUGGUACUAUUUUGUUGGUUUGCGUACUGAAGUAAUGAUUAAUAGGGACAGUUGGGGGUAUUCGUAUUCCAUUGUCAGAGGUGAAAUUCUUGGAUUUUUGGAAGACGAACUACUGCGAAAGCAUUUACCAAGGAUGUUUUC